rnacentral:rRNA from 1 species
UACGUAGGGGGCGAGCGUUGUCCGGAUUUAUUGGGCGUAAAGGGUUCGCAGGCGGUCUCUUAAGUUAGAUGUGAAAGAUCACGGCUCAACCGUGGUAAGCAUUUAAAACUGGGAGACUUGAGUUAAGGAGAGGAAAGUGGAAUUCCUAGUGUAGCGGUGAAAUGCGUAGAUAUUAGGAGGAAUACCAGUGGCGGAGGCGACUUUCUGGACUUAUACUGACGCUGAGGAACGAAAGCGUGGGGAGCAAACAGG